UGAGGAAUAUUGCACAAUGGGGGAAACCCUGAUGCAGCAACGCCGCGUGAAGGAUGAAGGCUUUCGAGUUGUAAACUUCUUUUCUGGGGGAAGAGGAAGGACGGUACCCCAGGAAUAAGACACGGCUAACUACGUGCCAGCAGCCGCGGUAAUACGUAGGUGUCGAGCGUUAUCCGGAAUUACUGGGCGUAAAGGGCACGCAGGCGGCUGUUCAAGUUCGGCGUGAAAGCUCCCGGCUAAACUGGGAGAGGCCGUUGAAAACUGAGCAGCUUGAGGCAAUGAGAGGGAUGCGGAAUUCCCGGUGUAGUGGUGGAAUGCGUAGAUAUCGGGAAGGACACCGAGUGGCGAAAGCGGCAUCCUGGCAUUGAACUGACGCUGAGGUGCGAAAGGCGUGGGGUAGCG
rnacentral:rRNA from 1 species